AAAAGGUUUCAGAAACUAAUGGACCAACCUGCUCAAGCUGCAAUCCAGUAUGUUCAAAUACAGUGUGUCCUUAUGUUAUCAACGUGUAGGAGGCUGAAAGCUAGUGUGUUUAGAGAACAGGCUCCUCAGAGGAGAUGCUAAAUUAUAAACGGGGAAGAAUGCUUCCAUACUAAGUGCCAGUCAUUUGUCGACAUCAAACCCACCUUUUUGCUGUUGCCUGAGAAACCUUUCAACUCUUAUCAAAUCUUGGUAAAUUUUGAAAAUCACAUGGUUGUUCAAUGCCUCCAUGUGGUAGAAAAAAUAAUUUAGCUCUGUCCUAGCUUUGUGAUAGCAAUCUUCAGGGCCAAUAGAGUCCUUCAAAGGAAUUAGUGUUUUUUUGGGGGAAAAAAAAAAAAGCCUGUGGAAAAGACAACCCAAAUUGAAGAUAAAAACCCCAGAUCUCAUUAGCCUCAUGGAAUUGAUCUUCUUUGCAAACCUUCUUUAUCCUUCUAUCCUUCUAUAUAAGGAAUGACUUUUUCAAGCAAAGGAGCAACAUAAAAUAAAACAAGUUGAAUGAAAUCUGCAGUGAGUCCAUCUUUUCGGAAAACCUUUAAAGAAAUUCUUUUUACAUUCCCAACAUAAGAGCUUUUUCCUUUUGACCAAAAAAAAAAAAAAAAGGAAGUCUUUGUAUCAAGUCAUAAGGUAGCUUUAAAAAGUCAUAGUAAUAAACGUUAAUUUGUUUGACAGUUCUUUGGAUGUGACGUUGGCCAAAGAGAAUGAUCAGCUUCAUGAAAUAUUUGAAGUUCCGUGCAAGCAACAAACCAAAAACAGGAGUACUCGAAAGUUCGAUGGGGUCUCUUUCUUUUGAAUCAACUAUGUCGUUUCACCUCCUGGGGAUCAAAGAAACAAAAUCAUCUCCAGACACCAUGGACCACAGCCGUAAUUCUGCCACCGACUUUCUGCUUGACCUUGGAUAAGACACCGGGUUUCUUGGCCUGAAUUUCUUCAUCUGCAACAUGAGGAGUUUGAACUCAAAGAUAUUAUAUCUUAGGCCCCAUUUGGUAAAUAAAAUCCUCUGACUCCCCCA
rnacentral:lncRNA from 1 species